CUCGAACAUUGAUUUACAGCGAAAGAAGAGCGCGAAAGGGAAAUACGGCGUACUGCAGCUUUGAAGGGACAAAACGAGACGUUGAAAGAAACCCUGGAGGAUAUUCGUAGACAGAUGUCGAUGCUGGCCGGCGAAUAUAACAUUUUGCGAAGUCAGGCGGUUACGCUGGCCGAGAGCAAAUUGGAGCUAGAGAAGACCGUGAUCGGACUCCGAAAGGAAAUCGUCGACACCCGUGAUGCGUAUCUCGAGACAGAACGAGGUUCCCGACUACUUCUAGACGAAUCGAGAAAGGAGAACGAAUCGUUGAAGGAAGAGUACAAGGAAACGGCCGAGAAACUUCAGCAAGAAAUCGCAUCUUUACGUUUGAUAGUCUCAAUUAAGAAAGAUAACGAGAGAACCAAAGACGUCAGUGACAGUGAUACGGAUAAAACGAUUCAAGAAGAGUCCAUUUUGAAGCCUGAAGAUGAUCCUGUGUUGGAUAUGACACAGCAACUGAUCUCGAAUCGCGAAAAGAUCGAGAUACUGUCACGGCAAAACGAUCGGCUGUCGAAAACACUGUGUCGAUUACGGCAAUAUCAAAGAUUACAGAACUAUUUUGUUACAGAAAUACGAUUAGUGGCGACAUACAUCGUUGAAGCAGUGCAAGUUCUAUAA